AGUCUGGCUGGAGCUGGACCGGCUGGUGGCGUCACGCAGUGCCAGGAACCCCUGGCAGCCCUGCAGAGGGUUCUCAGAUCCAGAUUUCAUUCUGCAGCCCCGGCAGUGCUCUGACAACUGCCUCACUCAAGGAAGCUAAAAGCCGUGCUGAUGUCUCCCAGACGAGCCUCGUUGGAAGCACAGAACCUCACGGCUCGGAGCCGCUGACAUCGUGACAAAGGGAGCCCUGCUCAGGAGAAAGAGUAAAUGGGAGAAAGUAACACUUUUUCAGGUGUCAGGCUGGAGGAAGCCACCUGCAGAUGAGUCUGCCUGUACCUUAGGAUUACCUGGUGGCCUGCAUUCUUCCAAGUUAUGUCUACUGAUUUGCGCUCUGUAUUCAACAAUUUUUCUUUUUCCAUAUUUCUUUCUUACUGACCUUAAGAGUGACCAUAUUUUUUGUCAGUUUGGUCCUCAGCCUCAAAACUUAGCCUUUUCCUUUCGUGGUUGCUGAAUCCUAUCACUUGUCAUAGUGGCUGCUCCAAUUUGAGGCUGUGAAGGUGUUUGCCAAGCCUGCUGAGAAGGCUCAUCUGUGGCAUCCGAGAGCAGAGAUUUCAACUCUGACCCCUGUGAAUUGUCUUGGGAAUUACGGAUACCCAGCACUAUUUUGAAAUAUCAGCGGACAUCCAAUUCUUAAAAGCCCUCGGAGCUUUAGAGGAGACCCCUUCAUCUCUUCAUGUCAGAGAGCCGACUCAACCCUUCUCAACUCCUCCUCCUUCCCUCUCUUGGGCAAUCAGGAUGCGGCAGGAACUCAGCAUGCAUGUUUUUACAGCUCUUCUCUAGUAAUGCUGCCAUUUCGACUGCAGACCACAGGAUAAAAGGAGCACUUCAGAGUGGCUCAGGAUACUCUUUUAAGUAGGAGAGGGAGAAGAAAGUACUACUUCAAUAUAAAAUAAAGCAAAUGUUCUUCAAAUCACCACCGUGGGACUUGACCACUAACGGUGACCAGCAGUGGCUUUGUCAUGGCCUUGCCCACUGGGGACAGACACAUGCCAGGGCCAGGGUAGGCUGCCGGCUGAGGAUUAUUGGCAACUGGCACCACCCCCAGCCUGGAGGAGGGACGUUUCUAGGAUGACCCCCAGAGUGGAGAAAUCGCCGAGAUAACAAAAUGUGUCUAUCACCUCCCAGAGUGUCAACUAGUCUGGUGGCUGGAAACAAACAAACCAACAAUGAAACAAAAGAAGAUCUGUCAAGAAAGAGCUGAGU